rnacentral:rRNA from 1 species
GACGAGGGGUCCAAGCGUGGUUCGGAAUCAUUGGGCGUAAAGCGGGUGUAGGCGGCUCUAUAAGUCAGGAGUGAAAUCCCCGAGCUUAACUUGGGAAGUGCAUUUGAUACUGCAGAGCUUGAAUGUGGGAGAGGUUAGUGGAAUUCCAAGUGUAGUGGUGAAAUACGUAGAUAUUUGGAGGAACACCGGUGGCGAAGGCGGCUAACUGGCCCAACAUUGACGCUGAGACCCGAAAGCAUGGGGAUCAAACAGG